AGAAGUUCCAACUGCUGGCUAGAAAAGAAGUUCCAGAAAAGAAGGAAGAUAGCCAAGAUUUCCAUGCAUUUCUGUGUUGUCCUGUCUAGUGGUCCUGUUCCUGAGCCUUUUUCAAGAAUCAGUCACUUCACUGUUGGCCAGCACCUUCUGUAGUCACUCACACCACUGCAAAGGUAGAUGCUAACAGCAUGUCCACUGCCUAGGGUAAUAGACAGCAGACGAAUGAGGUGAUGGUGACAGAUGGAAUCCUUGUUCUCAUCCUCAAUACAUGAAUAAUGCCACUAAUAUCUUCAUGGAUGGGGCCUCUGUUUCUGACUGACUCAGUAGUGGGACCACGAUGGACAGAUUUCCUGCUGCUAAGACAAGAGAAAAGAGAAGAAAACUGAUGAGGGAUGGGAGAGAGAAGCACAAAACAUCUGAUUACUAGUGACAGUGAAUCUCACAAAGUGCAGAUGUUUGGUAUGGAAAACUUAUCCAAAUGUAUUCAAAUCUUGUUGGGCUGUGAGGGUUUGUCUAGUCCAUACCAGUGGGGUGUAAAUUCUAGUUCGCACCAGCAUGAUGCGCACUAACUGGCCUAUCUUGAGCCUGAUAGCGUGUUAAUGUUAUGGCAUGUUAAUACCAGUGCGCAUUAACAUAGUACUGUUUGAAACAGAACUACAUUAAAGUGCACUAGGGAACUUUUAGUCCACACCAGCAUGGUCCUCAUGGGCCAAUUAAUGUGUGAUGUCCUGCUGCACAUUCGAAUUCACACCCCUCUAGUGUGGAUUAACACACUGUGUAAACAAGCCCUAAAUCUCCCAACUACAGACUCUCUUGUGAGAACUCGAUUACUUUCAGGUUCUAAGUGGAUCAGAAAUAAGAUAAGAAUAACCUCUUCCCGGAUACUUUUCUGCCUCUGCAACUAGUAUCAGACAAAACCAGAAAGUGCAGGCACGUCAGAAAUUGAUAGAAGGGAUGGAGAGAAGGGAAAUUAGCCACUCCAGAUGUACUCUGUCUCAAAUAUUAAAAAAAGGUUCCAUUAAAAUUUGUUUCAAGUAUGGGUGAUUAUUUCAAUCAGCCAUAUUUCAUCUGACUAUUGUAGUCAACAGCAGACAUGCUAACUCAUUAUGUACAAAUCUCUUCAUGUCUUACAUUUUAAAGAGACUAAAGCUUCGUCUACACUGCACUUUAAACUUUUGGCAUUAAGAGGGGUGUAAAAAAACCACACCCCAAACGACAAAAGUUUUACCGACGAAAAAUGCCGGUGUGAACAACACUUUGUCAGCGAGAGAACACUCCCGCCGACAAAGCUACUGCCUCUCGUUGGGGUGGAUUUUUUUUGUCAGCAGGAGAGCUCUCUGCUGCCGACAAAGAGCAGCUACACUGCGCAUCUUUUAGCAGCAUGGCUGUAGCAGCACAGCUGUGUCGCUAGAAGAUGAGUAAUGUAGACAUAGCCCAAGAAUAUGAUCUCAGGAGCCUGUGUAGAAAUCUCCCUUCUGACUAUUGCCUGGUGCAAUAUUUGUAAAAGGGAGUAUGGACAUUGAUUAUUGCUGCUGCGUAUAUUUCUGGAGAAAUGAUCACAACAACAGAACUAAUAUGGCAGAAACUGAAAACAGGGCCUGAGAGCAAAAACUAGUAGGUCACUGAUUUAUCAUUUGAAAGAACAGUGGCGACAUGGGAUUAAAACUGAGGGUAGAUGUGCAAGAAAUUAAGAUAUUUUAUGGGCAGAGUGGUAAAUGAACAGGAUGGACUCCAGUCAUCAUGGUGUGGUCAAUUAGUAGUAGUAAUAUGUUGAAACAAAGUUUGGAUGAUGAUAUGUCACACACUUUACUUCCCUUACAUCCCUCAGCAUGCUGACCUAGGUCUGGUGGGUUGUUAGGGUCUGUCUUACCUUUUAUCACCUCCUGUAGCAUAUCUAGCACAACUAGAAUAGGGGUCACCCAGUCCAUAAGUUCUAGGACCAAGAUUAUGGCUAGUCCCCAAGAAGAUUCUUUUUUUGUUUAUGCCUCUUCUCCAUUGUGUACAUGUGAAGUGUUAAUUCAUAGAUACAUAAAACUGAAAGCCAGAAGGGACUAUUUGAUUAUCUAGGCCAACCUCCUGUAUAUCACAGCCCAUCAAAUUUCAUGCAUUUACUCCUGCAUCAAGCCCAGUAGAAAAGUAAUCUCAUCUGUGUGAUCUGGCCAGGGAUAAAUGGGAACACAUAUGGACCAUCAACGUUAUAUCAUCUAUCAA